ensembl:lncRNA
UAGACUUGAUUUAACCAUGCUCUGAUACUUACAGAAACAAUCGAUAAUGCAGUGAGUAACAGCAGAAAUCCGGCCGUUUUCCACGGCGAAUUAGAAGCCAUAUCCCCCGCAGAACCUCCGCUGCCGCCGCAUCGAAGAGAAGACGGCACUAUUUUCGUCUCCGCAUACCGGGAGAACCGCGGAGAAAAAAGUUUUAAAAUCGAAGAGGUAAUCGAGAAUAUACAGACCCCGCCGCAGCGAAAAGAAGAAGAAGAAGACGACGACGUUAUUUUCGUCAACGCAUACCGGGAGAACUGCAGGAAAAUACCUUUUAAACCAAAAGGUAAACAAUAUGAUGCAAUAUCCGUCAUUUCGAUAAAUAUCAGGAUGUGGCGGAGUAAUCCGAGUGUGCUAUACCACCCCUCCCGACUUGGAGUGGUAUAAAGCGAGCUAAAAAGUUUUUUUUUUUUUUUUUUUUUUUUUUAUUAAAUCUUUCUCUUUUUGUUUUAUUUCUCGGCAGCCGAGAUUGCUGAUAUACCUAUUCAAGCCCCCUCCGCUACAGACAAUCGCGCGGAGGAGCGAGGUAAAUAAAACGUUUUUUUCAUUCUCAAAAAAUAGGAAGGAUGAGAUUGUUUUCUUAAAUCUCUUCCGUUUUAUUUUCCCCGCCAG